rnacentral:rRNA from 1 species
CCUACGGGUGGCAGCAGUGGGGAAUAUUGGACAAUGGGCGAAAGCCUGAUCCAGCCAUGCCGCGUGUGUGAAGAAGGCCUUCGGGUUGUAAAGCACUUUCAGUGGGGAAGAAAGCCUUGGGGCUAAUACCCUCGAGGAAGGACAUCACCCACAGAAGAAGCACCGGCUAACUCCGUGCCAGCAGCCGCGGUAAUACGGAGGGUGCGAGCGUUAAUCGGAAUUACUGGGCGUAAAGCGCGCGUAGGCGGUCUGAUAAGCCGGUUGUGAAAGCCCCGGGCUCAACCUGGGAACGGCAUCCGGAACUGUCAGGCUAGAGUGCAGGAGAGGAAGGUAGAAUUCCCGGUGUAGCGGUGAAAUGCGUAGAGAUCGGGAGGAAUACCAGUGGCGAAGGCGGCCUUCUGGACUGACACUGACGCUGAGGUGUGAAAGCGUGGGUAGCAAACAGGAUUAGAUACCCCAGUAGUC